rnacentral:rRNA from 1 species
AACGCUGGCGGCAUGCCUUACACAUGCAAGUCGAACGGCAGCACGGGUGCUUGCACCUGGUGGCGAGUGGCGAACGGGUGAGUAAUACAUCGGAACAUGUCCUGUAGUGGGGGAUAGCCCGGCGAAAGCCGGAUUAAUACCGCAUACGAUCUACGGAUGAAAGCGGGGGACCUUCGGGCCUCGCGCUAUAGGGUUGGCCGAUGGCUGAUUAGCUAGUUGGUGGGGUAAAGGCCUACCAAGGCGACGAUCAGUAGCUGGUCUGAGAGGACGACCAGCCACACUGGGACUGAGACACGGCCCAGACUCCUACGGGAGGCAGCAGUGGGGAAUUUUGGACAAUGGGCGAAAGCCUGAUCCAGCAAUGCCGCGUGUGUGAAGAAGGCCUUCGGGUUGUAAAGCACUUUUGUCCGAAAGAAAUCCUUGGUUCUAAUAUAGCCGGGGGAUGACGGUACCGGAAGAAUAAGCACCGGCUAACUACGUGCCAGCAGCCGCGGUAAUACGUAGGGUGCAAGCGUUAAUCGGAAUUACUGGGCGUAAAGCGUGCGCAGGCGGUUUGUUAAGACCGAUGUGAAAUCCCCGGGCUCAACCUGGGAACUGCAUUGGUGACUGGCAAGCUAAGUAUGGCAGAGGGGGGUAGAAUUCCACGUGUAGCAGUGAAAUGCGUAGAGAUGUGGAGGAAUACCGAUGGCGAAGGCAGCCCCCUGGGCCAAUACUGACGCUCAUGCACGAAAGCGUGGGGAGCAAACAGGAUUAGAUACCCUGGUAGUCCACGCCCUAAACGAUGUCAACUAGUUGUUGGGGAUUCAUUUCCUUAGUAACGUAGCUACGCGUGAAGUUGACCGCCUGGGGAGUACGGUCGCAAGAUUAAAACUCAAAGGAAUUGACGGGGACCCGCACAAGCGGUGGAUGAUGUGGAUUAAUUCGAUGCAACGCGAAAAACCUUACCUACCCUUGACAUGGUCGGAAUCCUGCUGAGAGGUGGGAGUGCUCGAAAGAGAACCGGCGCACAGGUGCUGCAUGGCUGUCGUCAGCUGUGUCGUGAGAUGUUGGGUUAAGUCCCGCAACGAGCGCAACCCUUGUCCUUAGUUGCUACGCAAGAGCACUCUAAGGAGACUGCCGGUGACAAACCGGAGGAAGGUGGGGAUGACGUCAAGUCCUCAUGGCCCUUAUGGGUAGGGCUUCACACGUCAUACAAUGGUCGGAACAGAGGGUUGCCAACCCGCGAGGGGGAGCUAAUCCCAGAAAACCGAUCGUAGUCCGGAUUGCACUCUGCAACUCGAGUGCAUGAAGCUGGAAUCGCUAGUAAUCGCGGAUCAGCAUGCCGCGGUGAAUACGAACCCGGGUCUUGUACACACCGCCCGUCACACCAUGGGAGUGGGUUUUACCAGAAGUGCUAGUCUAACCGCAAGGAGGACGGUCACCACGGUAGGAUUCAUGACUGGGGUGAAGUCGUAACAAGGCAGCCGUAUCG